UAGUAUCAGCGUGUCAGCCGCCGCGGUAAUACAGAGGGUGCAAGCGUUAAUCGGAAUUACUGGGCGUAAAGCGCGCGUAGGUGGUUCGUUAAGUUGGAUGUGAAAUCCCCGGGCUCAACCUGGGAACUGCAUUCAAAACUGUCGAGCUAGAGUAUGGUAGAGGGUGGUGGAAUUUCCUGUGUAGCGGUGAAAUGCGUAGAUAUAGGAAGGAACACCAGUGGCGAAGGCGACCACCUGGGACUGAUACUGACACUGAGGUGCGAAAGCGUGGGGAGCAAACGAGGAUUAGA
rnacentral:rRNA from 1 species